ensembl:ncRNA lncRNA:CR45726 long non-coding RNA:CR45726
CCCAACUGAACCACAUUGCGGCGCAAGAUCAAAGACCGCCCCUCGAUCUGUAAUGACAGCUUUGAUCAUUGUUUUGCCUUUGAUUUUUUCCGGUUACGUUUCUCUCUCAGCUGGCCUUUUUUUUUUGGCUGCGAGAUGGCCCAAUGCAUACGAUCAUCAGUCUUGUCGGUACGAGAUCUCUCGAUCACAUCGAAAGUACUUGGAAUUGUGGGAACGAGUGGGCAAAGAGGCUGUUUACGAUCAGUUUCGCACCCACUUGAGAGAUUUCGCCUUUGCCGAAUCAAUUUACAGCUGGCGAAAAACCAGCACCGACGGCAAAUUGGAGGCUAUUGCCGGAACUGGGGAAACUACACGUUUUCAAUCAUCCAUAGGUCGAGAAAUUUCUGGAAAAACCCAUUUUACGAUGUCAAAAGAAACUACGUUUUUUAUUCUUUAAGCUAUUAUAACGGUUACAGUACAAGACUCAAAAUGACUCACAUCAUUGUUUAAUUAUCAAUCAUCAUUCUAAUGAUUGUCAUAUCAAAAUCCUGACAGUUAACCCGGAACUCGAUGAGUAAGAGUUUUAAUGAAUGUAUCCUAAUUAAUUUGGUACCGCUUUUCG